UAAGAUUGAGAAAAAAUAGGCGUGAUCGUAUGCUUGGGCUAGAAAUUGAAUUGGAGAUGGGCACCAGUUACUUUAGUCCGGCCAGGAGAAGGAGUCUUGAUGUCCGGCUUCAUACAAAUAGGGAACUGAUCCUCUUGAUUUUACAGAGACUCGAAACUGGGUUCAAAAGCAAGUAACCGGCGGUUGAUCGAAUUUAAUUUGCAUGCAAGAGCAAAAGCUGGGGUGACUCUUCCAUCUGCAGACUCGGUUGCUUCGCCACUGCCUCUGUAUUCAAGGGGCAGAUCAAUUUGUUUAGUUGACACGGCUGCAGAGAAGAUCGAAACUAAAGAUUAAGGGUGAGGCUCUUAUUGAUUUGCUUAUUACGGUUGGUGUUUAGCUUGGUAGGAGUUUAGUGUUUGUAUUUCUGGUUUUGAAAGUGGUGGGAGAAGAAAGGCAGAAGCAGGGGAUUGCUGAAUUUGCAGGGAGCGAAGAUGAUAUUUUGUGCAGACUGUUCUUUUUCUUCCUUUUUUUAGCGUCGGAACUUGCCGUUCAUGAACGACUCCAUGUUCCUGUGCUAGGAAUUGCAGCAGCUGAGUGCGUUGAGACUCCGGCCGUUCAUGAACGACCAUAUAUGUCUCAACGGAGGAGAAAAUCACCAUGAAGUUGGCCGUUCAUGAACGACCAUGUAUUUCUUGAUAACUUAAGAGAGACUCAACAAAAGAAAGAAGGUUGUUCAUGAACAGCCUAUCUUUUGUUGACAGCAAGCAUUCCGGGCGAUGUAUUUCUUUGUUAAAGAAGACAGGUACAGCAAGGAUGCGUAGUAUACCUGAGCGUCACCUUUAGAGCUUGAAUGGUGGCCGGAUCUGCUUUGAAUAUUUUGGCAGAGCUUUAGUCUCUAGCUUGCUGCUUUGUUUUUUCCUCUCUCCCGUGUGUCUCUCCGUGUCUCUCUCUUCAUGUUAUUGUUCUUUAUAAUAGUAUAGCUGCUCCUCAGAUAACUUUGCCUUCUGCAGGACUUGUAACAUUGAAAUUUGAAUAACACACUUUGAAUUUUGGAUAAGAAACUUAUCCUGUAUUUUGACCAGCAACAAUCCCGAAUUUGCUUCACGUUUGAAGUCUUUUUUUUCAAAGCUAGUAAACUUUGACUAGCAACAUAUCUCUUUUGCUUCUUUUUUGAAUGGCCUAUUUGCUGUUUGAAAUAGUCAAGGGUGUAACAAUAUGUAUAAACUUAUC